GAAGUAGCGACGUUCGAUAAUUGAAGUGUGAAGCGAAAAGAAAGUAAUUGUUGAAGAAGCAGGAUGAAGCUAACAUGGAACAAGAAGAAGAACAACAAGAAGCGCUCUAUAGAAGCUAUAGCAAGCUACCCAAACCUUCCCUUUGAUGGACAACAACCCUCUGCUGAUAAUACGCAAUUCCAGAAUCAAGAACCCGCCGCUUCUCAGAAUCAGGAGAAACCCUCUGCUGAUGCGUUGGAUUCUGACUUUAAACUACUUGCCCAGUCCUUCCAAGACCAAGGCAACAAGCUUGCUGAGGACGGGAAAUAUCGUGAAGCACUUGGGAAGUGGGAGGCGGCUCUUAAUUUGAUGCCUGAAAACGCAGUUUUGUUUGAACAGAAGGCACAAGUUCUACUUGAACUUGGGGAUGCAUGGAGUGCAUUGAAGGCAGCGUCUCGCAUGGGUCACUCUUGGUAGAGCACAAUUACACUUUGGAGAGCCUGAUAAUGCCAUUGAGAGUUUUGACAGAGCAUUAGCUAUCAAGCCUGAUUCUGUGGAUGCACAAAAUGACAAGAAAACUGCAUUGCAUCUUAUAAAGAGAAGAAAGCAGCUUCAUUCAUCAGGCCUGAGUACUGAUAAAAACCGUUACUUGGUAGGUGAUAGCACCGACUCUUCCUGAUUUUAGAUGAAGUGCUUUUGUUACUCACUGGAGGGUUGAUGUUAAGAGUUACCGGAUCUAGCUCCAAGAUGGAGUGUUCAACUUACCAUGAGACAACAAUUGAAAAUUUUGGGAAUUGCUUAGAAGUCGGCUUUGACAAAAAAGCUUUUUAGGCAUAAUAUCCUACGGUAUUAUAGCUUCUGAAAGUUCAUGCAAAUGAGGGGUGUGCUGUUUCGAGCAUCUAGGAACCCUUUAAAAGUUUAAACCAUGAAACCGUGUACAGAUUCUCAAUAAAGCAUGUAUGAAAAACAUUAGGCAUUGUUAGAACAUCCCUCUGUCAGGUUAUCUUUACGAAUGACAAUGAAAUGAAAAAGGAUGGAAUAAGGAA